rnacentral:rRNA from 1 species
AUUGAACGCUGGCGGCAGGCCUAACACAUGCAAGUCGAACGAGUGGCGGACGGGUGAGUACUGUCUGGGAAACUGCCUGAUGGAGGGGGAUAACUACUGGAAACGGUAGCUAAUACCGCAUACCAUCAGAUUUGCCCAGAUGGGAUUAGCUAGUAGGUGAGGGAACGGCUCACCAAGGCGACGAUCCCUAGCUGGUCUGAGAGGAUGACCAGGCACACUGGAAAUGAGACACGGUCCAGACCCCUACGUGAGGCAGCAGUGGGGAAUAUUGCACAAGGGGCGCAAGCCUGAUGCAGCCAUGCCGCGUGUAUGAAGAAGGCCUUCGGGUUGUAAAGUACUUUAAGCGGGGAGGCGUUACCCGCAGAAGAAGCACCGGCUAACUCCGUGCCAGCAGCCGCGGUAAUUC